rnacentral:rRNA from 1 species
CUUCGGGCCUCAUGCCAUCAGAUGUGCCCAGAUGGGAUUAGCUAGUAGGUGGGGUAACGGCUCACCUAGGCGACGAUCCCUAGCUGGUCUGAGAGGAUGACCAGCCACACUGGAACUGAGACACGGUCCAGACUCCUACGGGAGGCAGCAGUGGGGAAUAUUGCACAAUGGGCGCAAGCCUGAUGCAGCCAUGCCGCGUGUGUGAAGAAGGCCUUCGGGUUGUAAAGCACUUUCAGCGGGGAGGAAGGCGGUGAGGUUAAUAACCUCAGCGAUUGACGUUACCCGCAGAAGAAGCACCGGCUAACUCCGUGCCAGCAGCCGCGGUAAUACGGAGGGUGCAAGCGUUAAUCGGAAUUACUGGGCGUAAAGCGCACGCAGGCGGUCUGUCAAGUCGGAUGUGAAAUCCCCGGGCUCAACCUGGGAACUGCAUUCGAAACUGGCAGGCUAGAGUCUUGUAGAGGGGGGUAGAAUUCCAGGUGUAGCGGUGAAAUGCGUAGAGAUCUGGAGGAAUACCGGUGGCGAAGGCGGCCCCCUGGACAAAGACUGACGCUCAGGUGCGAAAGCGUGGGGAGCAAACAGGAUUAGAUACCCUGGUAGUCCACGCCGUAAACGAUGUCGAUUUGGAGGUUGUGCCCUUGAGGCGUGGCUUCCGGAGCUAACGCGUUAAAUCGACCGCCUGGGGAGUACGGCCGCAAGGUUAAAACUCAAAUGAAUUGACGGGGGCCCGCACAAGCGGUGGAGCAUGUGGUUUAAUUCGAUGCAACGCGAAGAACCUUACCUGGUCUUGACAUCCACAGAACUUUCCAGAGAUGGAUUGGUGCCUUCGGGAACUGUGAGACAGGUGCUGCAUGGCUGUCGUCAGCUCGUGUUGUGAAAUGUUGGGUUAAGUCCCGCAACGAGCGCAACCCUUAUCCUUUGUUGCCAGCGGUUAGGCCGGGAACUCAAAGGAGACUGCCAGUGAUAAACUGGAGGAAGGUGGGGAUGACGUCAAGUCAUCAUGGCCCUUACGACCAGGGCUACACACGUGCUACAAUGGCAUAUACAAAGAGAAGCGACCUCGCGAGAGCAAGCGGACCUCAUAAAGUAUGUCGUAGUCCGGAUUGGAGUCUGCAACUCGACUCCAUGAAGUCGGAAUCGCUAGUAAUCGUAGAUCAGAAUGCUACGGUGAAUACGUUCCCGGGCCUUGUACACACCGCCCGUCACACCAUGGGAGUGGGUUGCAAAAGAAGUAGGUAGCUUAACCUUCGGGAGGGCGCUUACCACUUUGUGAUUCAUGACUGGGGUGAAGUCGUAACAAGGUAACCGUAGGGGAACCUGCGGUUGGAUCACCUCCUUACCUUAAAGAA